rnacentral:rRNA from 1 species
CUACGUGCCAGCAGCCGCGGUAAUACGGAAGGUCCAGGCGUUAUCCGGAUUUAUUGGGUUUAAAGGGAGCGUAGGCGGAUUAUUAAGUCAGUGGUGAAAGACGGUGGCUCAACCAUCGUUAGCCAUUGAAACUGGUAGUCUUGAGUGCAGACAGGGAUGCUGGAACUCGUGGUGUAGCGGUGAAAUGCUUAGAUAUCACGAUGAACUCUGAUCGCGAAGGCAGGUGUCCGGGCUGCAACUGACGCUGAGGCUCGAAAGUGUGGGUAUCAAACAGGAUUAGAUACCCUGGUAGUCCACACAGUAAACGAUGUAUACUCGCGGUUUGCGAUAUAUUGUAAGCCGCCAAGCGAAAGCAUUAAGUAUACCACCUGGGGAGUACGCCGGCAACGGUGAAACUCAAAGGAAUUGACGGGGGCCCGCACAAGCGGAGGAACAUGUGGUUUAAUUCGAUGAUACGCGAGGAACCUUACCCGGGCUUGAAC